rnacentral:rRNA from 1 species
GAUGAACGCUAGCUGCAGGCUUAACACAUGCAAGUCGAGGGACCGGCGCACGGGUGCGUAACACGUAUCCACCCUGCCCUUUACUCUGAGAGAGCCUUUCGAAAGAAAAAUUAAUGCCAAAUCUAAUGGAGUGGGAUGCGUUCCAUUAGGUUGUGGGUGAGGUAACGGCUCACCAAGCCUUCGAUGGAUAGGGGUUCUGAGAGGAAGGUCCCCCAGAUUGGAACUGAGCCCCGGCCCAAACGCCGACGGGCGGAAGCAGUGAGUAAUAUUGGGCAAUGGGCCCGAGCCUGAAACAGCGAGGUAGUGUGAAGGAUGAAGGGUUAUGGGUCGUAAACUUCGUUUAUAUAAGAAUAUGUAUUAUAUGAAUAAGGAUCGGCUAACUCCGUGCCAGCCGCCGCGGUAAUAC